rnacentral:rRNA from 1 species
GAUGAACGCUGGCGGCGUGCCUAAUACAUGCAAGUCGAGCGAACAGACGAGGAGCUUGCUCCUCUGACGUUAGCGGCGGACGGGUGAGUAACACGUGGAUAACCUACCUAUAAGACUGGGAUAACUUCGGGAAACCGGAGCUAAUACCGGAUAACAUGUUGAACCGCAUGGUUCAACAGUGAAAGACGGUCUUGCUGUCACUUAUAGAUGGAUCCGCGCCGCAUUAGCUAGUUGGUAAGGUAACGGCUUACCAAGGCAACGAUGCGUAGCCGACCUGAGAGGGUGAUCGGCCACACUGGAACUGAGACACGGUCCAGACUCCUACGGGAGGCAGCAGUAGGGAAUCUUCCGCAAUGGGCGAAAGCCUGACGGAGCAACGCCGCGUGAGUGAUGAAGGUCUGCGGAUCGUAAAACUCUGUUAUUAGGGAAGAACAAAUGUGUAAGUAACGAUGCACGUCUUGACGGUACCUAAUCAGAAAGCCACGGCUAACUACGU